GCGCACUGCGGUCUCUCUCUCGCGCUCUCGGAUCUCGAAAGUUUAUUUAGAGGGCGAGCCCCCCACGUCAGACGCUUCUGACUGCUGGAGGGCCGUAUGGUCACUCUUCGCUACCGCCGCUGAGAGGUCCCGUCAUCGCCCUGAAAUGAAGCCAUGCAGGUGCACAAAUCAUACACAGAGUCAGGGACUGAAGCUGGGCAGGUCAGCAAAUCAAACUCUGAGCAGGGACAUGAAGCUGCAUGUGCAAGUUUCAGGCUAAAUAAUCAACCACAGAGCUGGGAAUUGAAGAUGAGCAGAAAAUAUUAGCAGGUUUUAAGUUACUUUUUGGUUCCUCCAAUAAUGGAAAGUCAUCCAGGUCCUGAGGCAGCAAAGCAUCUCCAACCCAUUACACUACCACCACCAUGUUUGACAGUUGCUAUGAUGUUCUUAUUGUGAAAUGCUGUAUGGUUUACACCAGACAAAUGGGACCCAUGUCAUCCAAUAAAAUUCCACUUUUGACUCAUCUGUCCACAGAACAUUAACCCAAAAGGCUUUGGAAUAAUUCAGGUGCUUAUUUGUAAAU